AGAGUUUGAUCCUGGCUCAGGAUGAACGCUGGCGGCGCAUUUAAGACAUGCAAGUCGAACGAAAAUUUACGCUUAAAGAGUUGAUUAGUUUACUAAGAGAUGAUUUAUUGUAAAUUUUAGUGGCGGACUGGUGAGUAAUACAUAGGUAAUCUGCCUUUUAGAGGGGAAUAACUAGGAGAAAUCCUAGCUAAUACCGCGUAAGACCACACUUAGGCAUCUAAGAGAGGUCAAAGGAGUAAUCCGCUAAAAGAUGAGCCUGUGGCUGAUUAGUUAGUUGGUGGGGUAAGAGCCUACCAAGACGAUGAUCAGUAGCCGAGCUGAGAGGCUGGCCGGCCACAUUGGGACUGAGAUACGGCCCAGACUCCUACGGGAGGCAGCAGUUGGGAAUAUUGGACAAUGGAGGAAACUCUGAUCCAGUGACGCCGCGUGAAGGAAGAAGGUCUUCGGAUUGUAAACUUAUUUUAUCAGGGAAGAAGAAAGUGACAGUACCUGAAGAAAAAGGACCGGCAAACUACGUGCCAGCAGCCGCGGUAAUACGUAGGGUCCAAGCGUUAUCCGGAUUUACUGGGUGUAAAGGGCGAGUAGACGGCGCUGUAAGUCAGCUGUGAAAACUUAGGGCUCAACCUUAAGCCUGCAGCUGAAACUGUAGUGCUAGAGUGCAGGAGAGGUAAGCGGAAUUCCUAGUGUAGCGGUGAAAUGCGUAGAUAUUAGGAGGAACACCAGUGGCGAAGGCGGCUUACUGGACUGUAACUGACGUUGAGGCGCGAAAGUGUGGGGAGCAAACAGGAUUAGAUACCCUGGUAGUCCACACCGUAAACGAUGGAUACUAGGUGUAGGCGAGAUAUCGUCUGUGCCGGCGCAAACGCAAUAAGUAUCCCACCUGGGGAGUACGGCCGCAAGGUUGAAACUCAAAGGAAUUGACGGGGGCCCGCACAAGCAGUGGAGUAUGUGGUUUA
rnacentral:rRNA from 1 species